GUUUUAUCCAUGUUCCUUGUUAGAUUAAAUAUUAUUUUUUGAGACUCCUGCACUCCUGCCUUGCCUCCCUGCUUCCCUGCACUUGGGUCCUCCACGUUUUUGCCUUGCCUUCCUCGCCUUCGAAAACCAAUCGUGACACCACAGCACGAGUAAGGGGCGGGGCCCAUCUGAAGCGGAAGCUCUUCUCACAAACACACGCCGGGCAGAGGAAAACGUUUUGUCGUGUGGAGAAGCUCCGGAGAGCAAAACUCAUGUGUCGAAGCCAAUCCAUCCAUUUCCUGUACCGCUUGUCCGCAGGAGGGUCGUGGGUGAGCUGGAGCCUAUCCCAACUGACUCUGACAAAGGCAGGAUCAUGACGGCAUGGUUGAAGUGGUGGUGCUCAAGCGUAGCUGAUGUCCCGUAAAGGAGAGCGAGAGCCGAGCCUGUCCUGGCACGUGCACACACACGCACACACAUUGAUUUAACAGUGUCUCGUAGUAUGGCAGUUGUGGUGUUGUACUGCACUGCAUGAUACUCAGAACUCUUUUUAAUAUUUUCCCCACUUAUGUAGUCAAUUAAGGUUCCCAAAAUAUUAUAACCUCCAACACAACAAAGAUUUUUGUAAAAUGAAUACUAUAACCCACUGACUGUGAGUAUUACUAUCUUUGUAAAAACUGAAUUUAUUGUAUAGCCCUUGUAUUGGAUCUCAUUAGAUUGUUCAAGUGCACAAGAUCUUGUGGGCACUGGGUGUACCGGUAUAUAAUUUACAUAUCACAUCCUCAGCAACACUUGUGAACCCCCGUUCAUCAUUGGGGAUAGAUUGCAGGCACAUCCGCAAUAGGUGAAAAUAGGCGGAAUAGAGAGACCGUAUUAAAGAAAAAAACUGAAACAGUUCUACCCCUCCCACGUGUUUUAAAUUGUAAACAUAAUAAACACACACAAAAAUUGUAAACAUAAAAUGUAUAGAAAAUACUCAAAAAUUCGUGUGAUGUCAGCAAAUCUGCUCCUGAGUGAGUGUUUAUUUGUUUUGCGACUGUGACUCUCCUUUCCAACCUGUGAGGGCAUUACAGUAUGGUAAAAGCCAUCAAAAUUAUGUGCAAUUUAGCAGAGGUGCGAAUGAUGAACUGCAAUAUACGGUGGAUAUAAAAAGUCUACACACCCCUGUGCAAAUGCCAGGUUUUUGUGAUCUAAAUAAAUAAGACCAAAAUACAGUAAGUAAAGCGUGUAUAAGUAAGUAUAUACAGUAAAUCAUUUCAAAACUUUUUUCCUACCAUUAAUGUGACCGAUACGCUGUCUAACUCAAUUGAAAUUUGUCAUGGAAAUGCCUACUGGAAAAUCGGAACUUUAUUUGGGGUUAAUCAGAGGCACUUGAAACGGUGGCAAGUGUGUGGCAUUUAACAUACAGUAGGUUUGAAUCUUAAUGGUUAAUUCUGGACAUAGCCAU